rnacentral:rRNA from 1 species
AUUGAACGCUGGCGGCAGGCUUAACACAUGCAAGUCGAGCGGGGGAAGGUAGCUUGCUACCGGACCUAGCGGCGGACGGGUGAGUAAUGCUUAGGAAUCUGCCUAUUAGUGGGGGACAACAUCUCGAAAGGGAUGCUAAUACCGCAUACGUCCUACGGGAGAAAGCAGGGGCUCUUCGGACCUUGCGCUAAUAGAUGAGCCUAAGUCGGAUUAGCUAGUUGGUGGGGUAAAGGCCUACCAAGGCGACGAUCUGUAGCGGGUCUGAGAGGAUGAUCCGCCACACUGGGACUGAGACACGGCCCAGACUCCUACGGGAGGCAGCAGUGGGGAAUAUUGGACAAUGGGGGGAACCCUGAUCCAGCCAUGCCGCGUGUGUGAAGAGGGCCUUAUGGUUGUAAAGCACUUUAAGCGAGGAGGAGGCUACUCUAGUUAAUACCUAGGGAUAGUGGACGUUACUCGCAGAAUAAGCACCGGCUAACUCUGUGCCAGCAGCCGCGGUAA